rnacentral:rRNA from 1 species
UACGGGGGGGGCAAGCGUUGUUCGGAAUUACUGGGCGGAAAGAGCUCGUAGGCGGUUUGUCGCGUCUGCUGUGAAAUCCCAGGGCUUAACCCUGGGCCUGCAGUGGGUACGGGCAAACUAGAGUGCGGUAGGGGAGAUCGGAAUUCCUGGUGUAGCGGUGAAAUGCGCAGAUAUCAGGAGGAACACCGGUGGCGAAGGCGGAUCUCUGGGCCGUAACUGACGCUGAGGAGCGAAAGCAUGGGUAGCGAACAGG